AGAAUCAACGCUGGCGGCGUGCCUAACACAUGCAAGUCGAACGAGAAAGUGGGAGCAAUCCCACGAGUAAAGUGGCGCACGGGUGAGUAACACGUGGCUAACCUACCCUUGAGUGGGGGAUAACCUAGGGAAACCUGGGCUAAUACCGCAUAAUACCUACGGGUCAAAGGAGCAAUUCGCUUUAGGAGGGGGUCGCGGCAGAUUAGUUAGUUGGCGGGGUAAUGGCCCACCAAGACAGUGAUCUGUA
rnacentral:rRNA from 1 species